rnacentral:misc_RNA from 2 species
AACGCACAUUGCGCCCGCCAGUAUUCUGGCGGGCAUGCCUGUCUGAGCGUCAUUUCAACCCUCAAGCAACUUCUGCUUGGUGUUGGGGAUCGGCCGUUAAACGCCGCCCCCGAAAUCUAUUGGCGAUCUCGCUGUAGCUUCCUAUGCGUAGUAGUAACAUCUCGCAUCUGGAGAGCGGCGCGGUCAUGCCGUAAAACACCCAACUUCUCAGGUUGACCUCAGAUCAGGUAGGAAUACCCGCUGAACUUAA